CCUCUGCUGUGGUCCUCGUGAUAAGAGUGACCUUUUUGGCCUGCUCUCCCCAGCUCUUUUCCAGUCCUCAUGAAGCAGGGUAUCAGCAUUGCUGAGUGGCCUGCCCAGGAUGACACAACUGCCAGAACUCGGCCUGAGGUCUCCUAACAACAAAUCCCCCACUGGUCCCCACCCACUGGAGCACCUACUUGCCAGGCUUCUCAAGCGAAGAAGGAGAUCCACUCUGAUGUCAUCUCCCAGGAGCCUUCUCUGCAGCAUCUCAGGUCCUGGCUCUCACCUCCUCAGCACCCAUCCCAUCCUGUGUCACUCUGUAUAUCAGCCUCCCCAGCCAGCCUCCAGGCCACAAGCCAAGAGGUAUCAAGGGCUCCUCCCUGUCCCACUGGCCCCACAUCCACUGUGUCUAUCUGGUCAACUUUACCUUCCAAACAUUCCCUGCACAGUGAUAGAUGGCUGUGGCCCUGUCAUCUCUCACCUGAAAUUAACAAUGUAUCCUUGGGGCCUCCCACCCUCACAUCUUGGCUCCUCCAGCCCCUUCUCUGCAAACAUGGAACAGUGGGAUUAUUAUAAAUCUCAGACCCGUUUUGCCCCUUUCCUGCCUGAGAGUUUUUGUGGUUCCCCACUGCCCUCAGAACAAAGCUCAAGACCCUUUGGCCUGGCAUUCAAGGUCCUUUGUGCUGCCACCUGUCAACCUCCCCAGUUCCAGCUCCUUUGGCUUUGCCCAUACAAGCUGGAUCUGCACCAGAGGAUCUGUCUUCCUCCCAACUUGGCCCUAGUCCUCCUAGGAGCCCUUUGGACGUCACCUCCCCCAGGAAGCUUUCUGCAACCACCCUACAACCGUCCCUAUAAACUUUAUAAAACCAAUUAGUGUGGGGAAAAGCAAGAGAGAUCAGAUUGUUACUGUGUCUGUGUAGAAAGAAGUAGACAUAGGAGACUCCAUUUUGUUAUGUACUAAGAAAAAUUCUUCUGCCUUGAGAUUCUGUGACCUUACCCCCAACCCCGUGCUCUCUGAAACAUGUGCUGUGUCAACUCAGAGUUGAAUGGAUUAAGGGCGGUGCAAGAUGUGCUUUGUUAAACAGAUGCUUGAAGGCAGCAUGCUCGUUAAGAGUCAUCACCACUCCCUAAUCUC
ensembl:lncRNA NDUFV1-DT NDUFV1 divergent transcript